UGAUGAUUUGGUUAUUCUCGUUUUUUUUAUGAGACACCUGCAAGCUUUUGUUACGCAUAAAAGCAGGAUAAACCUCUCUGAUCUCUUUUUUAUUUAACACAAUAUGAACAAAAUAUUUUUAGGCUACAGUUGGAUAACAAAAAAUUGAAUAUAACUUGUGAUUCAAAUUUUAAUAACAAAUUUAUGAAUAGCAUAAAAACUUGACACUAGAAACCAUGCAAAAUUUUAUCAUAAAAAUAUCAUUAAUGAAACGAAAAUUUAGCAAUAUCAACAUAGGUGUGUGUAUCAAGAUAACAUUUUAAACAUUACAAAAUAGUACAUUUGGUCCUGGCAAAAGAAUGACAGGUGUCCCAUGCGGAUUAAAGCAAAGGAGGGAACGAAAAGGAACCGACGCGCGCUUCGGCGCUCGGUACGUUUUCAACAAAUGGGGUUAUGUCACGGCAGUAUAUAUAAAAGAGAAACGAUAAUUGUAGGUUCUUACUUUCGAAGGCCUGUAGGAAUAGCUCAUGAUCUGCUUGUAUUUGAUCCAUCCGAGGACCCUUCUGGCCAUCUAAUUCUUUCUCCCG